AGUGGCGGACGGGUGAGUAACGCGUGAGAAUCUGCCUUGGGGUCGGGGACAACCACUGGAAACGGUGGCUAAUACCGGAUAAGCCGAUUGGUGAAAGAUUUAUUGCCCGAAGAGGAGCUCGCGUCUGAUUAGCUAGUUGGUGAGGUAAGAGCUCACCAAGGCAGCGAUCAGUAGCUGGUCUGAGAGGACGAUCAGCCACACUGGGACUGAGACACGGCCCAGACUCCUACGGGAGGCAGCAGUGGGGAAUUUUCCGCAAUGGGCGAAAGCCUGACGGAGCAAGACCGCGUGAGGGAGGAAGGCUCUUGGGUUGUAAACCUCUUUUCUCAGGGAAGAAGCUCUGACGGUACCUGAGGAAUCAGCCUCGGCUAACUCCGUGCCAGCAGCCGCGGUAAUACGGAGGAGGCAAGCGUUAUCCGGAAUUAUUGGGCGUAAAGCGUCCGCAGGUGGCGAUUCAAGUCUGCUGUCAAAGCACGGGGCUUAACUCCGUAAAGGCAGUGGAAACUGAAUAGCUAGAGUGCCGUAGGGGUAGAGGGAAUUCCCGGUGUAGCGGUGAAAUGCGUAGAGAUCGGGAAGAACAUCGGUAGCGAAAGCGCUCUACUGGACGGCAACUGACACUCAGGGACGAAAGCUAGGGGAGCGAAUGGGAUUAGAUACCCC
rnacentral:rRNA from 1 species